UACGUAGGCAGCGAGCGUUGUUCGGAGUUACUGGGCGUAAAGCGUGCGUAGGCGGUGUCCUAAGUCUGGUGUGAAAUCUCCCGGCUCAACUGGGAGGGUGCGCUAGAAACUGGGGUGCUGGAGUGUGGGAGAGGUAAGCGGAAUUCCUGGUGUAGCGGUGAAAUGCGUAGAUAUCAGGAGGAACACCUGCGGUGUAGACGGCUUACUGGACCAUUACUGACGCUGAGGCACGAAAGCGUGGGGAGCAAACAGG
rnacentral:rRNA from 1 species